UAACGGUGAUGAGCUUUUUAUCCCGAAACUGAUUUUAUUUGAUGAGACAGCCUAUCAUGGAUCCGAUUUCUGAGUU